AGCGAACGUUAGCGGCGCGCUUAACACAUGCAAGUCGAACGAGAAAGGGACUUCGGUCCCCGGUAAAGUGGCGCACGGGUGCGUAACACGUAGGCAAUCUUCCCUCAGGUGGGGGAUAACUACCCGAAAGGGUAGCUAAUACCGCGUAAGACCACGGUCUCCUCGGAGACAGCGGUCAAAGGUGGCCUCUCCAUGGAAGCUACCGCCAGAGGAUGAGCCUGCGGCCCAUCAGCUAGUUGGCAGGGUAACGGCCUACCAAGGCGAAGACGGGUAGCCGGUCUGAGAGGAUGAUCGGCCACACUGGCACUGAAACACGGGCCAGACUCCUACGGGAGGCAGCAGUGGGGAAUCUUGGACAAUGGGCGAAAGCCUGAUCCAGCGACGCCGCGUGGGUGAUGAAGGCCUUCGGGUUGUAAAGCCCUGUUGAGGGGAAAGAAAACAUCGGGCGCGAAUAGCUCCUGAUCUUGACGGUACCCCUCCAGAAAAGCACCGGCUAACUCUGUGCCAGCAGCCGCGGUAAGACAGAGGGAGCAAACGUUGCUCGGAAUUACUGGGCGUAAAAGCGCGUGUAGGCGGGCCACCAAGUCAGAUGUGAAAUCCCUGAGCUCAACUCAGGAACUGCAUUUGAAACUGGCGGCCUUGAGUGGUGGAGAGGGAAGCGGAAUUCCUGGUGUAGAGGUGAAAUUUCGUAGAUAUCAGGAGGAACACCGAUGGCGAAGGCGACUUCCCUGGACACCAACUGACGCUGAGACGCGAAAGCGUGGGGAGCAAACAGGAUUA
rnacentral:rRNA from 1 species